rnacentral:rRNA from 1 species
CAAUAGCGUAUAUUAAAGUUGUUGCAGUUAAAAAGCUCGUAGUUGGAUUUCUGGUGGGAGCGAUCGGUCUGGCGCUUAGCGCGAGUACUUGCAUCGUCUCCGGCCAUCCUUGGGGAGAGUCUGUCUGGCAUUAAGUUGUCGGGCAGAGGAUCCUCAUCGUUUACUGUGAAAAAAUUAGAGUGUUCAAAGCAGGCUUAUGCCGUUGAAUAUAUUAGCAUGGGAUAAUAAGAUAGGACUUUGGUACUAUUUUGUUGGUUUGCGCACCAAAGUAAUGAUUAAUAGGGACAGUUGGGGGUAUUCGUAUUCCGUUGUCAGAGGUGAAAUUCUUGGAUUUACGGAAGACGAACUACUGCGAAAGCAUUUACCAAGGAUGUUUUCAUUAA